GUCACUUGCCACAGAUAAAAUGACGUCAAAUCACAUUAUAUGUACAGUAGCUUUGAUUGGACUGAUCAUGUCAGCAUUUUACUUUCAAAGUCUUAGCUAGCAGUCAUCAUCAUGAAUCAAGUUGACAAUCUACUGCCAAGUCCUUUUUAAUCCUUGACAUAUGAAGAGAAAUAAUGAAGAGAAAUUAUAGAUUAAAUGUAUCGGUGCUCAUCGGCCAUUGGACAUAAACAUUACACAACAAUUUGGAAAUCGCAAAUUCAACAAUGAUUCGUUUCGAGGGAAUCAGUGGCUAACUGCAAGCGUUGCAAAGAAACCACUACGUUAGCCUGGUAUUCAAUUGAGUGGCUGGGUGUUUUUUUUUCAGAGUUCCCACCAUAAAUCCAGAGAAUGCCAGACUUCGAUGACAAGAUUUGCCCACAAAGGACCGCUGCGCCACCUUCACAAGUAAACAAGUCCAAAGGCAUCCGGACCAACAGCAGAGGGAGUGCAGUGAUGCACUCCAGGGACCCAGAGAGAACCUCAGAAGUGAGAUGCUGCCUGCUGGGAGUGAGAGCACAGCAGGAAAAACACUCACAUGGAUCAGAUGAGAAUGUGAGGAUUGCAGCAUUGAGUGCUACACCCAAAGCACUGACUACCAGAGAGGUAGAGGAAGCCUCAGCCAAAGACCCAGAGCUGAGAGAGGCACUCUUUUGGGUAUGACUGUGGGCGCAAGGCAAACCUGCAGUUGUUGGAUGAGCGAGCGCUGACCAUCGUGGGUAGAAAACCUGCUUAUCUUCCUGGACAUCCGGACCAAGGAGCAAAACUACCUCCGCUCCUGCAGUGGGGAAGGCCCACUCCAGUAAGAGAUACUUUGCUGUGGCAGAGAAGGGAGACCAGCCCAACAUCGUCAUCUAUGAAUAUCCCUCACUUCAACCGUACCACAUUGUCAGAGGUAUGGGAACUACAACACACACACACAAACUAUUAGAUUUUUAUUUUUACAAUUUAUAAAGCAUAUGAUCAAUGAUCAAGACAUUUGGUCUGUGGACUUUAACCGUGAGGGCAUCCUGCUGGCCAGUGUGGGUAGUGCUCCGGACUACUUGCUGACACUGUGGGAGUGGAGAUGCUGCGUUGCAAGGCCUUCGUUCUCACAGGACGUCUAAGGGUCGCCUUCGCACCUGACAACGCCGGGCAACUCACCACCUCCGGAUCGGGACACAUGAAGUCAGUAGCAAUCAAUCAAUCAAAAUGUUUUCGUGUACUAGCACUUUUAUAAAUUUGUCAAAAGGUACUUUAUAGAACGCCAAAUCCCCCAAAGAGAAAACAUAUUUCAUCAUGAAAUAUGGACAAUAAAUACAUGAAUGGCUUAUUAUGUGUACAGAAUCGUACACCAUGUGAGUUGAACUCUUAUCAUCCAUUCUUCUAGGUUUUGGAAAAUGGCCAGCACUUUUACUGGUCUCAAACUGAAAGGCCUUCUGGAAAGGUUUAAGUAGACUACCCUUAAAGAUAUCGUGGGGAAGGUCUGUCCACUGCUCUUAUCAUUCAAUUCCUGCUAUUCCAUUGAAAAUGACCCAAACCCAAAGCAAUAUGCUCUUUUCCUGUUCUAUGUUGUCCCGAUCACAUCCCUUCUGUCUGUGUGCUAUUGGGUUCUGAGAAUAUGAAAUAUACUUACUCAUGUCACUGAGGGAAAGAGGGUAAUGUAUAACGUUUACGUUAUGUCAGAAUAUGUUAUUGUUAGCCAUCAGGGAUCCGAGAAGAGACAGUCUGGUACCAAUCUCCAUGAUGGCCAUGAGUUGGGGAGGAGUGAGCACUUUGGGGUAGAGGUCAGGUCAGAUGAAGUAAGGAAGAACAGAUAACCCUAAGGUUAUGUCUAGCAGCAGAGAUGCAUUGGCUGUUCAGAUGUGUAGGAGGAGACUCAACAUAGUUACAUAUCAGUGCUUGUGUGACUAUGUCAUCAUCUAAUGCAGCUGUAUUGAUCCUCUGGGAUGAAUUAACUCGGUUUUAGCUUUCAUAGUGUCCGUUGAGUUUUUACUCUGAGAAUUAGAACCUAACAGUGCCAAGUGGUGUCUGGGUCUGAGUGGGGGAACAUGCUAGUGUGGGACAGGGGUCUGAUCAAGGUGGAGAUAUGACAUAAGGGUGGAAGGACGUGCCACGCUGGCACCAUCCAGCAGUUUGUCCUGAACGAGGAGGAACUCAUGACCAUUGGCACUGACGGAGCCAUUAGAGUAACCUUUCAGAUAUAGUACAGUCCUCUCAGCCCCAGUCUAAGAGGUCUCUGCUAACCCUAAAAAGCCAGCCUGAACAACUGGUCUGUGGUCAGUUUUGCCUGCUGUGUAAUAUUUCUCCCUGAUGACGUCACUUCCUCCACCCUGUGCAGGGCUGAGACUUUGAGAGUAUUGACACGGCGGACUGUAACGAUGACACCAGUCUGUUUGAGAUCGAGCCCAUGAACGAGAUUGUGAUCGGACGCAACAUUAGCAUGUCCUCCAUGGUCAUGGGUAAUCCUGAAUGAAUCUUGAAUAAUGACGAAUGAGAAAGUUAGACACACAUAUCAUACCCCCCAAAAAAUGCUACCCCCCCUACAGUAUUUGUGUCUCCAACUUUCUCUCUGAUCAUUAUUCUCAAUUCAUUCAGGAUUACCAUAUUCAAUUAUUAUUCUUUUUUUUACAAUAUAAGUGACUCCAAAAUGACACAAUACAUUACUCACCAUUAAUUUCUAUUGGGCACAAAAUAAUCUGAAACACAACCAAAACAAACAGCAAAUGCAUCCAACAAACGUGCAGUCACAAGCUUGACGUAAUCAUUGCGUGCUAUGAAUAUGGGGCCAAAUACUUUAAUACACAUAAGUUAAUUUGUCCCAAUGCUUUUGGUCCCCUAAAAUGGCGGGACAACAGUAUGUACAAAAAGUGCAGUAAUUUCUAAACUGUUCACCUGAUAUGGAUGAAAAUACAGACCCAAAACAACAACAACAAAAUCACUGUUCCAAUACUUUUUGAGCUCACUGAGUUACAGUUGUCCGACUUAAAUUAUUAUUUUACCAUACAGUUAUGUAAUGCCUUGUUGCCUUUCACUAGGUCUCAAAGCGCUUUGCUUAUCUGUGUCAUGUACUGUUUUGAUAGUGUUUGCCCCUGCCUGUGUGUGUAGGUGAACCCUAGAGGAGGGACUGGUGGUUGUGAGCUUUCAGGACGGAGUGGUCUGUCUGCUGGGGCUCUACAACCCCCAGAUCUUAUGGGUGGUUGCCGGACGCAGUCGCUAUGGAGAAGCUGAGCUCCUUCUCAAACAGGCCUUCAUACCGCACAAUGCACCUGUGACGGCCAUCGCGUACGAACCCAACGGAGAGAUCCUGGCAACUGGGUAUUCGGACUAGCGAGUGCCACUGACUGUUGACCAAUGUGAAAUCAAUCAUUAGCUCCCAUCUAGACAAUCCACUUGUAGAUCAAAAACCAACUGGAUGGGUAUAAUAACUGUGGUGUAUUGAGAAAUGUAUUAUGUGUUAAUGAGUUUAGAUUUAAAAUGGUUGCAAAUAGCCAAUGGGAUUUGUAUGCAGGGGUUCAGUUAUUUGAAUUGACAAAUGACAAUUGGGUUUCGGUUCUUUCAUUUAAGUGAUUGGAUUUCGAGAUGCAAGGGCGGCAAAAGUUCAAUGAUGUAUGGAAGAGUUGGGCUGAAGAUACUGUAGAGUGUAGUCGACUGUAAUGUGUUAAGGAGAACAUUAAAUAAAUAUGUCCUGGUUAUUAUAA